GUGUUCUUCAGCUUAAUCUUCAUGUUUUCAUGGUAUCAGAGCCGAAAAAUCUUCUGAUCCUUCUCUGUUAUGUGUUGUCGAUACUUGCUGAAGCUUUUGCUGAAGUUUUUCUUCGGUUAUCUGAGAAAAAUACUGUUCGUUUAUUUUUCGAUGAAUGUUAAUCGGAUAAUCGGAACUUUUCUGACUGUUUGAGGCUCCGAUCAUGUAUCAGUAGAUGUUUUUGGGUGGUUUUCCGACAUCUAUUUUCGAUGAACGUUAAUCGGAUAAUCGAGACUUUCUUACUGUUUGAGGCUCCGAUCAUGUAUCAGUAGAUGUUUUGGGUGAUUUUCCGACAUCUCUGGUCUUAUUCCGGUGAGUUCUUCAAAAUCUAGGGUUUUCCGACUUUCGGACCAAGGGUUUUGAUGUUAUCCGAUGAUUUUUACCUUCGGUCGAUAGACGUUUUGGGUAAGUUUCGACGUUUGUGACCUGAUUCUGGUGAGUUUCCGUUUAUCUGCAAUUUCCGAUGACCGGACUUAGUUUCAUCCGGUGGUUGAAGGCCGUUCUUCUCCGUUCGCGAAGAAGGAGGGUAACACUUUCUCUGUUCUAAGUGUUGUAUAUGUUGCAUGCCAGUACUGGUUUGAUUGUGGUCUAUUCAUUGAAACUAUUUCUGUGUUGUUAAGUUUGUUCAUUAUUCAUGGCUGAUAAUACGAAUACUAAUACCUCCCCCACGGACUCUACUAGUCCCCUCCUAAUUUACUCCUCUGACGUUCCUGGUAUGUCUCU
rnacentral:lncRNA from 1 species